rnacentral:rRNA from 1 species
AUUGAACGCUGGCGGAAUGCUUUACACAUGCAAGUCGAGCGGCAGCGCGGGGCAACCUGGCGGCGAGCGGCGAACGGGUGAGUAAUGUAUCGGAACGUGUCCUGUCGUGGGGGAUAGCCCGGUGAAAACCGGAUUAAUACCGCAUACGAUCGAGAGAUGAAAGUGGGGGACCGCAAGGCCUCACGCGAUAGGAGCGGCCGAUAUCUGAUUAGCUAGUUGGUGGGGUAAAGGCCCACCAAGGCUUCGAUCAGUAGCUGGUCUGAGAGGAUGAUCAGCCACACUGGGACUGAGACACGGCCCAGACUCCUACGGGAGGCAGCAGUGGGGAAUUUUGGACAAUGGGGGCAACCCUGAUCCAGCCAUUCCGCGUGAGUGAAGAAGGCC